AGUGGUGCAACAGAAAAGGGAGAUUGGACAGAUAGUCUAGCUAGCUAUCUGGAUUUACCUUGCAGAAAUCUGAGGAGCAGAUAACCAUAGUACUCAUAAAUUGACCAGAAUUUAAAAUGCAAACACAAAGAAGGCCCAAGGCAACGGAUAUCC